rnacentral:tRNA from 1 species
GGUUCAUUAGCUCAACAGGCAGAGCGGCGGUCUUGUAAACCGCUGGCGGGGGUUCGAGUCCUCCAUGAACCU